rnacentral:rRNA from 1 species
GAUGAACGCUAGCGAUAGGCUUAACACAUGCAAGUCGAGGGGCAGCAUGGUCUUAGCUUGCUAAGGCUGAUGGCGACCGGUGCACGGGUGCGUAACGCGUAUGCAACUUGCCUCACAGAGGGGGAUAACCCGUCGAAAGACGGACUAAUACCGCGUACACUCUAUGUUGGGCAUCCAAUGUAGAGGAAAUGAAAUUCGCUGUGAGAUAGGCAUGCGUCCCAUUAGCUAGUUGGUGAGGUAACGGCUCACCAAGGCGACGAUGGGUAGGGGAACUGAGAGGUUGAACCCCCACACUGGUACUGAGACACGGACCAGACUCCUACGGGAGGCAGCAGUGAGGAAUAUUGGUCAAUGGGCGAGAGCCUGAACCAGCCAAGUCGCGUGAAGGAUGACUGUCUUAUGGAUUGUAAACUUCUUUUAUACGGGAAUAACAAGAGUCACGUGUGGCUCCCUGCAUGUACCGUAUGAAUAAGCAUCGGCUAACUCCGUG